rnacentral:tRNA from 1 species
CUUUGUUGUAGCUUAAAAAGUACGAAUUAUAAAGCUUGGCCUUGAAGCUGCCACGAUGGACCCCGUCCCAACAAAG